rnacentral:misc_RNA from 1 species
UCAAAAUAUUCGUAGAGUUCACUGCUCAAUCAGAGGUUGAAAAGGCUUGUGCUGCCCUCAAUGGAAGAUACUUUGCUGGUCGAAUUGUCACUGCAGAAAAGUACGACGAGGACAUGUUCAAUGCGAACGAUUUAUCAGGAUGAAAAAAACGUGUUGCGGUUGUCUAAAUUCACAAGACUAAUGAGAAUUUAUACACAAGACUAGUGAGAUCUUAUACAAACAUUUGUUACCAUGAGAAGGUUGAACUGGAGGUGUGCAUCUAAUGACGAAUCCUUGACUAUUGUUGUUGAUUGAAGGGUUUUUUUCAGCCGAAUUUGUACAAAAUAAUCUUUUGUAUCAACACAACCAUGUUUUUUCAUUUAUUAUUGUACAUCACUUCGCUAUGUUGACAUGAUUGUUAGAGAUUGUUACAUCCAGAUGUAUGGCAGCUUGUGCUGGCCCUAUGUACAGCGGAACUAAAGAAAUUGUUCUGUAUCUAAUAAAGAUGU